rnacentral:rRNA from 1 species
UACGUAGGGGGCAAGCGUUAUCCGGAUUUACUGGGUGUAAAGGGAGCGCAGACGGCAGAUCAAGUCUGAUGUGAAAUCCAGGGGCUCAACCCCGGAACUGCAUUGGAAACUGGUCAGCUGGAGUGUCGGAGAGGUAAGCGGAAUUCCUAGUGUAGCGGUGAAAUGCGUAGAUAUUAGGAGGAACACCAGCGGCGAAGGCGGCUUACUGGACGAUCACUGACGUUGAGGCUCGAAAGCGUGGGGAGCAAAC